AUUGAACGCUGGCGGCAGGCCUAACACAUGCAAGUCGAGCGGGGUUUUCGGACCUAGCGGCGGACGGGUGAGUAAUGCGUAGGAAGCUACCCGAUAGAGGGGGAUACCAGUUGGAAACGACUGUUAAUACCGCAUAAUGUCUACGGACCAAAGUGUGGGACCUUCGGGCCACAUGCUAUCGGAUGCGCCUACGUGGGAUUAGCUAGUUGGUGAGGUAAUGGCUCACCAAGGCGACGAUCCCUAGCUGGUUUGAGAGGAUGAUCAGCCACACUGGAACUGAGACACGGUCCAGACUCCUACGGGAGGCAGCAGUGGGGAAUAUUGGACAAUGGGCGCAAGCCUGAUCCAGCCAUGCCGCGUGUGUGAAGAAGGCCUUCGGGUUGUAAAGCACUUUCAGUAGGGAGGAAGGGUUAAGUGUUAAUAGUACUUAACUUUGACGUUACCUACAGAAGAAGCACCGGCUACUCUGUGCCAGCAGCCGCCGUAAGAC
rnacentral:rRNA from 1 species